rnacentral:rRNA from 1 species
UACGAAGGGGGCUAGCGUUGCUCGGAAUCACUGGGCGUAAAGCGCACGUAGGCGGCUUUCUAAGUCAGGGGUGAAAUCUUGGAGCUCAACUCCAGAACUGCCUUUGAUACUGGAGAGCUAGAGUCCGGAAGAGGUGAGUGGAACUGCGAGUGUAGAGGUGAAAUUCGUAGAUAUUCGCAAGAACACCAGUGGCGAAGGCGGCUCACUGGUCCGGUACUGACGCUGAGGUGCGAAAGCGUGGGGAGCAAACAGG